rnacentral:rRNA from 1 species
AGAGUUUGAUCCUGGCUCAGAAUGAACGCUGGCGGCAUGCCUAACACAUGCAAGUCGAACGAAGGCUUCGGCCUUAGUGGCGCACGGGUGCGUAACGCGUGGGAAUCUGCCCCUCGGUUCGGAAUAACAGUUAGAAAUGACUGCUAAUACCGGAUGAUGACGUAAGUCCAAAGAUUUAUCGCCGAGGGAUGAGCCCGCGUAGGAUUAGCUAGUUGGUGUGGUAAGAGCGCACCAAGGCGACGAUCCUUAGCUGGUCUGAGAGGAUGAUCAGCCACACUGGGACUGAGACACGGCCCAGACUCCUACGGGAGGCAGCAGUGGGGAAUAUUGGACAAUGGGCGAAAGCCUGAUCCAGCCAUGCCGCGUGUGUGAAGAAGGCCUUCGGGUUGUAAAGCACUUUAAGCGAGGAGGAAGGUUCGUUACUUAAUACGUAACGGAAUUGACGUUACUCGCAGAAUAAGCACCGGCUAACUCUGUGCCAGCAGCCGCGGUAAUACAGAGGGUGCAAGCGUUAAUCGGAAUUACUGGGCGUAAAGCGCGCGUAGGCGGUUGUGUAAGUUGGAGGUGAAAUCCCCGGGCUCAACCUGGGCAUUGCCUUCAAAACUGCACGGCUAGAGUAUGGGAGAGGAAGGUAGAAUUCCAGGUGUAGCGGUGAAAUGCGUAGAGAUCUGGAGGAAUACCGAUGGCGAAGGCAGCCUUCUGGCCUAAUACUGACGCUGAGGUGCGAAAGCAUGGGGAGCAAACAGGAUUAGAUACCCUGGUAGUCC